AUACGUAGGGGGCAGCGUUAUCCGGAUUUACUGGGCGUAAAGGGUGAGUAGGCGGUAAUAUGUGGUCAGAUGUAAAAGGCUAUGGCUUAACCAUAGUUAGCAUUUGAAACUGUAUUACUUGAGUGCAGGAGAGGUAAGUGGAAUUCCUAGUGUAGCGGUGAAAUGCGUAGAUAUUAGGAGGAACACCAGUGGCGAAGGCGACUUACUGGACUGUAACUGACGCUGAAGCACGAAAGCGUGGGGAGC
rnacentral:rRNA from 1 species